UUUAAUGUAUCUCUGAGUCCUCCUGACACCUUACACUGUGCGCACGGUGUGAAAUGGAAGCAACCAGAUGAAGAAAUAGAAUUUGUUUUCUUGAGUUUAAGAAGAAGAAAACAACUAACGGAAGCUGAAGUCACCACUCCACUUAUCCGUCCCUACCCCAUCUCCUAUCGCCUUUAACAGUUUCUUCUUUCGUCUCCUAUCUCUCUUUCUUUUUUCACAUCUCUUUUUUUUUUUGCUAAAAUUCUUUUUCACAUCUCACGAAAACACAACACG
rnacentral:lncRNA from 1 species